AUACCUUUCUCGGCCUUUUGGCUAAGAUCAAGUGUAGUAUCUGUUCUUAUCAGUUUAAUAUCUGAUACGUGGGUCAUUGACUCACAUGAUAUUAAAUUAAUUUCUUUAGGGGGAGGGCCUGCUACAGCAGCUUGCUGCUGGGGUUCUUGAGUGUCGCCUAGGCAUUGCACUGCCACCUGGGCUUGGCAAACCCCAC